CGAAAGCCUGACGGAGCAACGCCGCGUGUGGGAAGAAGGCCUUUGGGCUGUCAACCACUUUUCUCAGGGAAGAAGCUCUGACGGUACCUGAGGAAUCAGCCUCGGCUAACUCCGUGCCAGCAGCCGCGGUAAUACGGAGGAGGCAAGCGUUAUCCGGAAUUACUGGGCGUAAAGCGUCCGUAGGGGGCUCGUCAAGUCUGCUGUCAAAGCUCGGAGCUCAACUCCGACCCGGCAGUGGAAACUGGUGAGCUAGAGGGCGACAGGGGUAGAGGGAAUUCCCAGUGUAGCGGUGAAAUGCGUAGAGAUUGGGAAGAACACCGGUGGCGAAAGCGCUCUACUGGGUCGCGCCUGACCCUCAGGGACGAAAGCUGAGGGAGCG
rnacentral:rRNA from 1 species